GCCAAUGAGGAUCAGGCGCGCCU
rnacentral:siRNA from 1 species